rnacentral:rRNA from 1 species
GAAGGCGGCUGUGCCCGAAAGGGAACUGGAACACAGGUGCUGCAUGGCUGUCGUCAGCUCGUGUCGUGAGAUGUUGGGUUAAGUCCCGCAACGAGCGCAACCCUUGUCAUUAGUUGCUACAUUCAGUUGGGCACUCUAAUGAGACUGCCGGUGACAAACCGGAGGAAGGUGGGGAUGACGUCAAGUCCUCAUGGCCCUUAUGGGUAGGGCUUCACACGUAAUACAAUGGCGCGUACAGAGGGCCUGCUAAGCCGCGAGGUAGAGCCAAUCCCUUAAAGCGCGUCGUAGUCCGGAUUGCAGUCUGCAGCUCGACUGCAUGAAGUCGGAAUCGCUAGUAAUCGCGGAUCAGCAUGUCGCGGUGAAUACGUUCCCGGGUCUUGUACACACCGCCCGUCACACCAUGGGAGUGGGUUCUACCAGAAGUAGGUAGGCUAACCGCAAGGAGGCCGCUUACCACGGUAGGAUUCAUGACUGGGGUGAAGUCGUAACAAGGUAGCCGUAA